UACGAAGGGGGCUAGCGUUGCUCGGAAUUACUGGGCGUAAAGCGCACGUAGGCGGAUCGUUAAGUCGGGGGUGAAAUCCUGGAGCUCAACUCCAGAACUGCCUUCGAUACUGGCAAUCUCGAGUCCGGGAGAGGUGAGUGGAACUCCGAGUGUAGAGGAUGAAAUUCGUAGAUAUUCGGAAGAACACCAGUGGCGAAGGCGGCUCACUGGCCCGGUACUGACGCUGAGGUGCGAAAGCCGUGGGGAGCAAACAGG
rnacentral:rRNA from 1 species